CUCGAACAGCUCAGUUGACCAUGUGGGAUCCAGGCCUUCUGCGGGCCCCGACAACGGACAUUUAUUUCUCACAGUUCUGGAGCCCGGGAGGUCUGAGAUCACGGUGCUGGCAGCUGGGUGUCUGGUGAGGGCCUGUCCCUGGCUGGUAGAUGGUGCCGGGAGCUCCGUCUGGGAACGUGUGACGUCCAGAGGAAAGCAUCCAGCCAGGGUCAGGCCGGGUGGGGCAGCCAGAGGCCUUAAAGGGACCGUGGACUCACCGCCUUAGUCACAGGAAAGGAACUCAGAUUCGACCGAGCAUAAGACGAAAACCCCAUCCAGAGCUGCGGUGGAGCCCUGCCGUGACUGCACUGAGACUCAGGUCCUCCAGAACCACCGAGUAUGGGCCAGGGCCACUGUCUGAGGAUGGGGACUUGCCUCCCUGCUCCCGCCAAACCGGGGUCUCCACUGUCAAGUUAGAGUAAACACAGUUCUGCCAUCUGGUGCUCCACGUGUCGGUGCUAAUGUCUCAGCACAUGCAGUCUGGACCCGACACCGUGACCCUGGCUGUGUGGGGGACCGUCCAGGCCUGUCACAGAGAAUGGCCCUGUGCCCUGGUGGCCUGACCGAGGCUGCUGGAGCUGGGUAAGGAGCCGGUGGUUUAGGAGACCAGGUCCCGGUCGCCCAUGGCCGGCUUUUGCUUUUGCGGCUCUCUUGGGGUGCAGAGGUCUUCCAACCCAGGUCUUAACAGAAGCGGAGCAGCAUGUGUGACGCAGAGGCCACCGAGUCUUCAUAACUGGGCACCAGGUGGCCUUGCCAGACCUCUGCCUCUGCCCCCCCUUCUGGGGGCUGCCCAAGAUGCCCCAUGCUGUUUACGAGCCUGGCGAGGUUCUCCACUUUCGUAGAGUUAAAGAUAAUCACCCCCCUUUGGGGUCUAAAGGUGCAGCAGCUGAGAUCCGGGGCGAGGCGGGGAGUAGGGGAAGGCAUUGAGGGCAGCAGAGCCGGUCCCGCCCCCACAGUCUCACGGGCCACCUUCUCUCCUGGGCCUCGGGCUCUAGCACAGUCCUGACCCGGCCAGGUGCAGCCUGCAAUGUUGCGUGGAUGCCUACUCUGCACUCCCACCCCUCCUGGUUGCCCAGGCCCUGCCUGACCAGCCAGCUGGUCCCACAAGCAGUCAGUCUCCCGGUGCUGGGUGGGAGGGGAGGGCGCCACACAGGCUCUGCACAGGGCUUCACCCCGCCCACUCGCCCACUUGUGCCGUGCCGUGCCGUGCCGGUCCUUCCUGCCCAACCCACCUGGUGACCUGGCGAGCCACGAACUGCCCCAGGAGGUUCCUCCAGGGCUCCCACGUGCAUGCUUUAGCUUCUCUACCUGUCAAACAGGAAGAGAAAGCCCCUCUGAGCUCUCCCACAGCAGGCCGGAGUCUGGCUGAGGCUCCAGGAAGGUCGUGCUGGUGAAAUCGGAGCGCCCGAGGCCGACAGCACAGCGCUGCUGAUGGAGACAAAGAGGCCCUGCUUCCUGGAAGACGAGACCGAGACCGCUGAGGCUGGGAGAAGUGAAGUGACUCUCUGUGUCCAGACCAGGUGCUCCCCAUUCUGCACUGACCUCGCAUUUAUGAAGAGCAGCCAUAUGUGGGAGCUGGACACUGACUGUGGGCGCUGCUGGUCACCUGCUCUCACAUGCCUGCCCCAUGCAUACAAAGUGAAUUCUCCCAGCAUGAAUAUACUGUACAUUAGUCCAGUUCAAGAUAUUACCUUGCAUGCUACCAUCGACAGAAAUGUAUUAUUUCUCCCAUCAGAGAGAAGCAGGCAUCUCCCACAGGUUCUGGCGCCUCCAUCCACCGGCCUGAGCCAGCGAGAUCUGAUAGCACCCGGAGGGCACACGGAGACCACAGGACACAAACCCGGAAGCUUCCCGCGUGGGUCUGGCUUCGUUUUCGCUGAUGACCAUCACACUGUGGCUUAGAAACAACUCAAGGCGAAACAUGAUACCGGGACUUGGCAAUGGAGUAUCGGUCCUCUCUGAGGUCACCGGACUUGGUGUUGAUAUAGAAAAUCCAGCUGAAUUAUCCUGGGCUUCUCAGGGGCAGCCGUCUUUCUACCUUGCGUUAUUCUAAACAUUAAAUACUCUAAAGAAAAGGGGGAAAAAAAUAAGACAUUUGGAGAGAAAGCCGCCAAAUGCCUUCACAGCGAUUUAGCUGAACUGGAGAAGUGGCAAGGCCAGGAGGUAGAGGGAGCUUGGUCCAGGUGGCGGAAAAGGUGUCUAUUAACUAAUCAUCAUCACAGUUCAUUAAAAGGUUGCCGGAAGCCAACCUAGGCCGAAAGAGCUGUCUUUAGAAUUACAGUCAGAGAAAGGGACACUGCAUUCUUCUCCUUUCCCUGGGAUGGCUCUUCUGGGAAAGUUGACAAAGAGGUCAUUUCAUCUGCUGCUUUGUCCCUCAAUGACAAACAUCUCUGUUCUGGAAAUCUGUAAAAGAAAAGUUAUAAUUACCAAACAUAUGAAGAGAUGCUC